rnacentral:misc_RNA from 1 species
UUUUAACCGGGUUUUGCAAAGGAAAAAUUCAGUUAUUGAAAUGGUGAAAAUGGUUGAUGGGCGGGCAGCUUCCAAAAGGGUACCCUUAUUUUACGGAUAAGUCCUCCUACAGUUUUUGAAAUAGGAAGUUGCUGUUUUGCAGAUUAAUUGUUCAUAUAUCAGAGAUGUGAAUACUUUUUGGAUUUUGAUUUUUGAUAAUUUUGGAAAAAAAUACAAGCUGUUUAACUUAGCCAUAAUUUUCGCAUAAUAUUGCAUAAAGGGUACCCCUAUCCUCCCAUAGUUUUUAAGAUAGGAAGCUGUUGUUUUUCAGAUCAAUUGUACAUAUAUACCAGAGAGGUGCAUAUUACUUGGAUUUGAUUUUUGAUAAUUUUUUUUAAAUACAAGCUGUUGAACUGAGUCAUGAGCAUAUUACUUGGGUUUUUGAUUUUUGAUAUUUUAUUGAAAAGAUAUCAGCUUUCGAACUUAGUAAUUUUUUGGCAAUAUAUUGCAUAUUGAGUACCCUAUUUCACUGGAUAGGUAAUGUUUUCAAUUCAGGGUUGACAAUUGGACUAUGUACACUGUUCACAGAAAUGAAAACGCAGUAUGCUGUCACAUUGACAGCUUUUAAUCCUACUAUAAUAGCAUAGACUUUGUUGCCUUUGAAGUCAGUCGUUAGCAAUUUCAACAUUUGACCUUGAUUAUGGUUGCAGGUUGUCAUCCUGGUAAAAGAUGCAAACAACAUUGAAUGACAUCCCUUCUUUCUACAUGUAGUUGACAAAUAGUCAGUUCAAGAAUGAAUAUCAAGAUCAUCAAAAUGCAUUUUGAGUGCAAGGUUAAAAGGCAUAAUUUACGUAUGAAUCAGUUUUGUUUCAUCACAGUGACACAAUAGCUUUCUUACUCAGCAGAAAGUUGGGUAUUCCCCCAUAAGCCAUAUUUUUCACAUCGCAAUUAAAAGAAAUUCAGAGAACUUGUUAUGAAUUAUUGAAACAAGAUCGAUCUGUUUUAAUGUAUCAGUUGUUUAAUGUCACAAAAUCUUAAUUUGAUGGUAACAAUUGUGGUUCUAUUGUAUUGGGUGAACUCUAGGUGGAAGAUUUCUGCCUGGGGGUGAUGGGUUUGAGGGCAGGUAGUUCCAGGUACCCUCCCCUCUCCAUGAUGUACUAUCACAUUUUAUGGCAUCUCUAGUAGACGUUUUCUCUAGUCAUUGUUUCUCAUUCACUAUAUCAUUUCAAUAUCCAUGCUCUGCGUGUGUUUUGUAAAUUGGGCGUAUUCUGAUGUCAUUUCUUAUGCACUCUGUGUAAUAUUGAGUUUUGGCAUUGUUGUUAGAAUCAUAUAUUAUGUAAUCAAAGAACCUGCAAGUGAAAUUAAACAUGUUUAUUC